rnacentral:rRNA from 1 species
AGAGUUUGAUCAUGGCUCAGAUUGAACGCUGGCGGCAGGCCUAACACAUGCAAGUCGAACGGUAACAGGAAACAGCUUGCUGUUUCGCUGACGAGUGGCGGACGGGUGAGUAAUGUCUGGGAAACUGCCUGAUGGAGGGGGAUAACUACUGGAAACGGUAGCUAAUACCGCAUAACGUCGCAAGACCAAAGAGGGGGACCUUCGGGCCUCUUGCCAUCAGAUGUGCCCAGAUGGGAUUAGCUAGUAGGUGGGGUAACGGCUCACCUAGGCGACGAUCCCUAGCUGGUCUGAGAGGAUGACCAGCCACACUGGAACUGAGACACGGUCCAGACUCCUACGGGAGGCAGCAGUGGGGAAUAUUGCACAAUGGGCGCAAGCCUGAUGCAGCCAUGCCGCGUGUAUGAAGAAGGCCUUCGGGUUGUAAAGUACUUUCAGCGGGGAGGAAGGGAGUAAAGUUAAUACCUUUGCUCAUUGACGUUACCCGCAGAAGAAGCACCGGCUAACUCCGUGCCAGCAGCCGCGGUAAUACGGAGGGUGCAAGCGUUAAUCGGAAUUACUGGGCGUAAAGCGCACGCAGGCGGUUUGUUAAGUCAGAUGUGAAAUCCCCGGGUUCAACCUGGGAACUGCAUCUGAUACUGGCAAGCUUGAGUCUCGUAGAGGGGGGUAGAAUUCCAGGUGUAGCGGUGAAAUGCGUAGAGAUCUGGAGGAAUACCGGUGGCGAAGGCGGCCCCCUGGACGAAGACUGACGCUCAGGUGCGAAAGCGUGGGGAGCAAACAGGAUUAGAUACCCUGGUAGUCCACGCCGUAAACGAUGUCGACUUGGAGGUUGUGCCCUUGAGGCGUGGCUUCCGGAGCUAACGCGUUAAGUCGACCGCCUGGGGAGUACGGCCGCAAGGUUAAAACUCAAAUGAAUUGACGGGGGCCCGCACAAGCGGUGGAGCAUGUGGUUUAAUUCAAUGCAACGCGAAGAACCUUACCUGGUCUUGACAUCCACGGAAGUUUUCAGAGAUGAGAAUGUGCCUUCGGGAACCGUGAGACAGGUGCUGCAUGGCUGUCGUCAGCUCGUGUUGUGAAAUGUUGGGUUAAGUCCCGCAACGAGCGCAACCCUUAUCCUUUGUUGCCAGCGGUCCGGCCGGGAACUCAAAGGAGACUGCCAGUGAUAAACUGGAGGAAGGUGGGGAUGACGUCAAGUCAUCAUGGCCCUUACGACCAGGGCUACACACGUGCUACAAUGGCGCAUACAAAGAGAAGCGACCUCGCGAGAGCAAGCGGACCUCAUAAAGUGCGUCGUAGUCCGGAUUGGAGUCUGCAACUCGACUCCAUGAAGUCGGAAUCGCUAGUAAUCGUGGAUCAGAAUGCCACGGUGAAUACGUUCCCGGGCCUUGUACACACCGCCCGUCACACCAUGGGAGUGGGUUGCAAAAGAAGUAGGUAGCUUAACCUUCGAGAGGGCGCUUACCACUUUGUGAUUCAUGACUGGGGUGAAGUCGUAACAAGGUAACCGUAAGGAACCUGCGGUUG